rnacentral:misc_RNA from 1 species
GAUGAAGAACGCAGCGAAAUGCGAUAAGUAAUGUGAAUUGCAGAAUUCAGUGAAUCAUCGAAUCUUUGAACGCACAUUGCGCCCGCCAGUAUUCUGGCGGGCAUGCCUGUCCGAGCGUCAUUUCGACCCUCGAACCCCUCCGGGGGGUCGGCGUUGGGGAUCGGCCCUCCCUUAGCGGGUGGCCGUCUCCGAAAUACAGUGGCGGUCUCGCCGCAGCCUCUCCUGCGCAGUAGUUUGCACACUCGCAUCGGGAGCGCGGCGCGUCCACAGCCGUUAAACACCCAACUUCUGAAAUGUUGACCUCGGAUCAGGUAGGAAUACCCGCUGAACUUAAGCAUAUCAAUAAGCGGAGGA